rnacentral:rRNA from 1 species
UUGAACGCUGGCGGCAGGCCUAACACCUGCAAGUCGCACGGUAACAGAAAGCAGCUUGCUGCUUUGCUGACGAGUGGCGGACGGGUGAGUAAUGUCUGGGAAACUGCCUGAUGGAGGGGGAUAACUACUGGAAACGGUAGCUAAUACCGCAUAACGUCGCAAGACCAAAGAGGGGGACCUUCGGGCCUCUUGCCAUCGGAUGUGCCCAGAUGGGAUUAGCUAGUAGGUGGGGUAACGGCUCACCUAGGCGACGAUCCCUAGCUGGUCUGAGAGGAUGACCAGCCACACUGGAACUGAGACACGGUCCAGACUCCUACGGGAGGCAGCAGUGGGGAAUAUUGCACAAUGGGCGCAAGCCUGAUGCAGCCAUGCCGCGUGUAUGAAGAAGGCCUUCGGGUUGUAAAGUACUUUCAGCGGGGAGGAAGGGAGUAAAGUUAAUACCUUUGCUCAUUGACGUUACCCGCAGAAGAAGCACCGGCUAACUCCGUG